rnacentral:rRNA from 1 species
AGAGUUUGAUCAUGGCUCAGAACGAACGCUGGCGGCAGGCUUAACACAUGCAAGUCGAGCGCUGUAGCAAUACAGAGCGGCGUACGGGUGAGUAACACGUGGGAACGUGCCCUAUGGUUCGGAAUAACCCAGGGAAACUUGGGCUAAUACCGGAUAAGCCCCUCGGGGGAAAGAUUUAUCGCCAUUGGAGCGGCCCGCGUCCGAUUAGCUAGUUGGUGGGGUAAUGGCCCACCAAGGCGACGAUCGGUAGCUGGUCUGAGAGGACGACCAGCCACACUGGGACUGAGACACGGCCCAGACUCCUACGGGAGGCAGCAGUGGGGAAUCUUGGACAAUGGGGGAAACCCUGAUCCAGCCAUGCCGCGUGAGUGAUGAAGGCCUUAGGGUUGUAAAACUCUUUCGGCGGGGACGAUAAUGACGGUACCCGCAGAAGAAGCUCCGGCUAACUUCGUGCCAGCAGCCGCGGUAAUACGAAGGGGGCUAGCGUUGUUCGGAAUUACUGGGCGUAAAGCGCGCGCAGGCGGUUCUUCAAGUCAGAGGUGAAAGCCCAGAGCUCAACUCUGGAAUGGCCUUUGAGACUAGAGAACUUGGGUACGGGAGAGGUGAGUGGAAUUCCGAGUGUAGAGGUGAAAUUCGUAGAUAUUCGGAAGAACACCAGUGGCGAAGGCGGCUCACUGGCCCGUUACCGACGCUCAGGCGCGACAGCGUGGGGAGCAAACAGGAUUAGAUACCCCGGUAGUCC